ACCAGCCCUGCUGCGACUCAGAGAUACAGCUUGGGAGGAUGGGGAAGUCACCUCUCAGGGGUGAACAGUAUCCAACAGGAGGAGGAGGGCCUUCUGUGGCCAACCGCACCUGGCCAGAUGGAUGUCCACACCUCAAAUUACAGAUGCCAUUGAGUUCUUGAACAUUUGGAGUCAUACAGUCAUCCGCUCUAGAAAAUUCUUAGCCGUUGCCUCUUCUUUGUCUCCAGCCCCCAUUAAACAGACCAACUCCUUCCUCA